UAGGGAAUCUUCGGCAAUGGACGGAAGUCUGACCGAGCAACGCCGCGUGAGGGAAGAAGGUUUUCGGAUCGUAAAGCCCUGUUGUUAGAGAAGAACGUUGGUAGGAGUGGAAAAUCUACCAAGUGACGGUAACUAACCAGAAAGGGACGGCUAACUACGUGCCAGCAGCCGCGGUAAUACGUAGGUCCCGAGCGUUGUCCGGAUUUAUUGGGCGUAAAGCGAGCGCAGGCGGUUCUUUAAGUCUGAAGUUAAAGGCAGUGGCUUAACCAUUGUACGCUUUGGAAACUGGAGGACUUGAGUGCUGAAGGGGAGGGUGGAAUUCCAUGUGUGGCGGUGAAAUGCGUAGAUAUAUGGAGGAACCCCGGUGGCGAAAGCGGCUCUCUGGUCUGUAACUGACGCUGAGGCUCGAAAGCGUGGGGAGCAAACAGG
rnacentral:rRNA from 1 species